ensembl:rRNA 5S_rRNA 5S ribosomal RNA
GUCUACGGCCAUACCACCCUGAACGCGCCUGAUCUCCCCUGAUCUUGGAAGCUAACCAGGGUCGGGCCUGAUUAGUACUUGGAUGGGAGACACCAGCAUCCCUGUAUUGACUACA